rnacentral:rRNA from 1 species
GGAAGUAAAAGUCGUAACAAGGUUUCGUAGGUGAACCUGCGGAAGGAUCA